ACCUGCAUGCAGAGAACUGAAGCACGGUUGCAGUAUUUCAAAUAAUAUGCCUCAGUAGCCGGUGGAAAAAAAAAAACUCUGUGGGUGCUUUUCAGCUCACAGAGUCAAUGUCUUCAGAUGGACAUGAUGUGUUCCUGACUAAGGCAUAUCUUCGUCUUUAAUUGCAAAUGUGAUUAUGGAUAAAAAUUCCCGAAAAUGAAAAGAAGAGGUUAAGAUGAACGACAAGAAUUGCUCACCAUCACUGAGAUUGGCACUGUAUUGCUCACCUGUAUUGUCUUGAUGCUCUGCUCCUGGAUUUGCUGAAACAGGAGGGAUAAAGAUGAUGUCACUUCAAAAUGGAAAAGUGCGAGUCCCACACAAAUGGAAAGCAGAAUUUAAUUCAGAGUAAAAUGUGAUUUUAUUGGAGAUAUUAAUAUUGCAAUAUCACUCAUGCAGUACUUUUCAAGGGUUUUUUUUUUCCCUUGCACUGCGCUUACGAUUAGUUGGGAAUAAACAUACUAACAACUAGAUAUAAAGCAGCAGAUUAAUUCUAAAUUAAUACAAAAACUAUAUACUUACCUGAAAAACAUAUAUAUAAUCCUAACUCAUGGGAAAAAUAUUAAGUUGUACUCAGAUUGAGUCAUAUUCACAGUGGAAUUAAUCCACAAUAGUGGAUUAAACAGAACAAACUACCUUUUGAGUUCAGAAGAGAAUCAUCCUGCUGGCUGAAGUGCACUGAUUGUAGCAAAACAGAAAAAAAAUAUGGGAAAAUAGCCAAUUUAUUAAUACAGAGCAUACCUCUUUUCCUGAGAGAAGAAAAAAAUGGUGAUAACAUUCACAAAUUUAUCCAAAAUUAUUUAUAGCUAAUUUUUACUAAAAUUUUUGGAAAUUUGCCUAUAAUGCCUGACAAAUAUGGAUAAGUAUGGAAUGGAUAAUUACUCCUCAAUAAAGCUUUUUUUUUUUUAUCUGCUAGACAGUAUGUAGAUAAAUAUAGUGGAUCUUUUAAGGUUUGUAGCUGUUAGGAGUGAGGCAAGUACAAAAAAUCAUGAUAUGAAGUAGAAAGGUAAAGAUGCUAAAACGAGAAAAAGAAAUAUGUUUAUUUAACUACCUAAAACUUCUCUUUAGAAAGUCUUAGUGUUAGGGCAAGAGUUAUAUUUACAUUAGAUUUUCAGGAAGUAGUCUGCAAGGAAGAGCUGUAUCUGCUAGACAACAGUUUGAACAAUAGGGCUUAGAAAUACUCUCAGGAAAGAGGAUGCCAAGGAAUUUAUUUCAACAUGCAAUAAUAGUAACUGUACUUCUCUGUAAAGAUGAGACUCAUCUUUUAGUAAGUCUUAUUUUCCAAAAAGGAUAUUUUCGCUACUGGAAAUCUUGUAUUAAACUAUUAGCAAUUUCACUUGAACCAUAUUGCUUUUUGUUGAGUAAGUACAGCCUCCAUCAAUGAGAUAAUAGUCCUGCUUCAUAUUUACAUGAUAGAAAAGGUAGGAAUUGAAUUCUACCUCGGAUGACAGCCCUGGCAUUUCUUUCAUUUUCCUUUGCAAUGAGAACACAUAAUUCGUUCCAGUAAAAAGGGAAAUUUGUUGCAUGAGAAUGAAAGAAAUAUCAUAGCUCCUAAACAGGGGAGUGACCUUUUCUCCAAGAAGCCUCUACUCAAGUUUCGUUUAGAAAAGCUUGAGGCACAUACUGCCUGUAGCAAUGCCCCUCUGGAAACCACCCAGUGAGACGGAGACCAGAAGGGCAUUCGCUUUUAUUCCCAUGCAAGCGGAGCGGCCCCAGGGCGGCAGCUUGCCCUCCUCCCAGCCCCAGUUGGAAGAGAGAAGCAAUCCCAGUGCUAAAACACUCGUGGCAUAGGAGAGAGCACAGCAAAAACCUUCAGGAGGCGGCUGAAGCAAGUAGGGCAGCCACAGCCUCAGGAGGCUGCCACCUCAUUUCCCUGCAAACACACAUGUAGCCCACUUCUCUGGAGAACAGUCGAUAAGGAAAGCAGACAUAUUUAGGAAAAGCACACACUGCCUGUUCUGAAUAAAGGUAAAUAUUCUCUAUUUACUCUCAGUUGAUUAACCAAAUGGCGGUUACAUUUGCUAAACAGCUGCAAAGCAAUUGCCAAUACAAUUAUAAAUAGUUAUCAAGAAACAGAGUAACCUGACCAAAUACAAGCUCUUCUUGCCACAAGCAUUUUUGUGUUAACCACCCGGGAAAUGCAGCUGCUGUUCUGGAGCUGUGGCCUCUUCAAGUGAAUACUAUUAUAUCAAAUUGGAAAUCCAUGCAGAAGUGGAUUUCCAGAGAAGUGCCAAGAAUACAAAGUUACUACCCAUUUAAGAAGAAAAAGGAGCCUUGCAUUUGUAUUCAAGCUUUGCAAAACACUAACUACAAAUAAAAAAAGAGAAAAGCCUAUUAAUACAACAGCAGAGAAAAAAAUGUAGUAUUUUUCAUCUUUCCCGUCAACCCCUCCUCUGCCAAAGGCAAGUAUUUCAACCAUAAGAAGAAGAACAUAUUUCUGUGAAAUUGGUAAAUUCCCUCCUGGGACAAAUUCAUGAAUAUCAGUAUUACUAGAUUCAGACCAGCAUAAAUACAUGUGUUAAUAUCAUUUUUAUCUUUCAAGAGACUAAGGGGCUUGUGCUUGAUGGAAAGCUACAAGUACUGCAGAAACAUCAACACAGGCUCUCCUGUGAUAUGGUUCUUUGCGAUAACAUUCCCAUCAGAUGGAUUUAUGCCAGGAACUUGGAGAUUUAUUUGCACAGUCUUAAGGCAGGGCCACAGAGGAUUUUUGAAAUGUGUCUCCAGGUAACAAUUUGAGACUUGAGCUGUGUAAGAAAGGCAUCGCAGCAUCUUGCUGCCGGGUUGCAACUAGCUAAGAACUUCUGUGCAAACUUUUUGGUUCAAUAAAUACACAGAAUAAAAUAAGAAGUUGACAUUUAGGACAGAAAGUAGGAGUCUUAUCUUCACUUUUCAUUCUACAGCUCUUUAAACUGACAGCAGAACUAAUAUAUUUAACUUAGAUGCUACCCAGUAGGGCAUUAGGAACACUAUAAUAGGAUACUGAAACAAAUAGUGGAUCGAUGUGUACAUUAUUAGGGAUUAUGUAUAUUAUUAAGGAUUAUUGGAAUCGCAGUCAAGAGUGGACUGUUCUGUGCACAGAGUCACUAUGGUGACUGUCCCUACCUGAACGAGUCUGGAAUUUAAAAGAAGUCUGACAAGGGGCCUCACAAGUGUCUUCAAAUACAGAGAAAGGUGCAAGAAGGAAGAAAAUCAAACUCUUGUCCACAUUUGUGUUAGAUGACGAAAGAAAUGGAUCAUACUUGAGCUGAUGUUCAGGAUAGACAUUAGAGAAAUCUUUCUAAAGGAAAGAACAAUGAAGAAAGGAGAUAGAUUACAUUGGCUGUGGAAUCUUUACCAUAGCAGGCUUUUUAAAGAAAGGAUAGAUAUCUUUUAGAAAAGAUAAAACUGAUCCUGACUUGAUCAGAUAUUCAGAUAUUCAGCUAGAGAAUAUUUUGAAGUUCCUUUCAGGCUUAUUUUCGAGUGUUGAGUGUACAUCUAUAAAUACACAUAUGAAAUUGCUAUGUUGAAACCUCAUAUCUGAAAUAUAUAAUAGCACCACGAUAGCAAGCUUAUAGUGAAAGCUUAACAGCAGUGUUUUAGUAAACUUUUUAAAUUAAAAAUUCUAACAGUAAGCAGUACUGUAAAAAUAAUUUUUAGUAUUUUAAAAGGGAUCAUCAGCUUUUCACAUUCAUUGUGAUAUCCAAGAAGAAAAGGCAUUGUCGUAAUUGCAAGCCAGAGAGGAUUUGCAGCUGAGAUCUGAGGGUCUUUGCUUUGUCCACAGUGACAAUUUUGUGGCUUAACUCCCUUCAGUUUGUUUCGGAGAAAUUUAGAGAACUAUACUUUAUUGUACAGAGGAACCUACUUCCCCUUCUUAGGUUUAAAAAAUAAAUGCAGCAAAGUGGACUGAAAAGGAGCAAAAGCUUAUUAUUGCCUGGAAUGCCCAGGGAUGCAACUCAGAACACAUGCCAUGGACAGAAACACUGAUUGACUAGGAUGUACCAUUUUUCGAAGUGACUUUUCAGAGCAGAAAGGGCAAUUCAGACAAAAAUGGUGAAGAAUUGCACUCGAUCUGCUAAACACUGACAUGCAGUAGGAAGGCUCAUCGCAAAGAUUUGCUUGGCAAGAAGCCAGCUGUGUGUAUUCUUAAGCUACCUGUUUCUAACUUCAUGGCCGUAGAAUGUAUUUUUCUCAUGGAUUUUUUCUUACAUCUUCUGCAAAAUGUGGAUACCAAAGUAAUUCCUGUAGUGCUUUCCCUGAAGCUAGUAGAAUUAUGAUAGAUGAAUAAAACUCAUCAAAACAUGGCCUUUGUCUGGGGUAGCUUCCUAAUACACUGUCCUUUGGGGUGGCAUCUAAUAAACAAUACUGCUUCAUGCUAUCUUUGCUUUAAACAGGCUUCUUAUAUAUUUUCACUAAACAAUUAUGGCCUGGUUGCCAGCAGU